AUUGAACGCUGGCGGCAUGCUUUACACAUGCAAGUCGAACGGCAGCGCGGGCUUCGGCCUGGCGGCGAGUGGCGAACGGGUGAGUAAUACAUCGGAACGUGCCCAGUAGUGGGGGAUAGCUCGGCGAAAGCCGGAUUAAUACCGCAUACGACCUGAGGGCGAAAGCGGGGGAUCUUCGGACCUCGCGCUAUUGCAGCGGCCGAUGGCAGAUUAGCUAGUUGGUGGGGUAAAGGCCUACCAAGGCGACGAUCUGUAGCUGGUCUGAGAGGACGACCAGCCACACUGGGACUGAGACACGGCCCAGACUCCUACGGGAGGCAGCAGUGGGGAAUUUUGGACAAUGGGCGAAAGCCUGAUCCAGCAAUGCCGCGUGUGUGAUGAAGGCCUUCGGGUUGUAAAGCACUUUUGGCGGGAACGAAAAGGACUGUGCCAAUACCACGGUUCGAUGACGGUACCCGCAGAAUAAGCACCGGCUAACUACGUG
rnacentral:rRNA from 1 species